rnacentral:rRNA from 1 species
AACGAACGCUGGCGGCAUGCCUAACACAUGCAAGUCGAACGGGAUCCAGGCUUCGGCCUGGUGAGAGUGGCGGACGGGUGAGUAACCCGUGGGAACCUGCCUUUUGGUUCGGGAUAACCGCGGGAAACUGCGGCUAAUACCGGAUGCUCCCGAGAGGGGAAAGAUUUAUCGCCAGAAGAGGGGCCCGCGUCCGAUUAGGUAGUUGGUGAGGUAAUGGCUCACCAAGCCGACGAUCGGUAGCUGGUCUGAGAGGAUGAUCAGCCACACUGGGACUGAGAUACGGCCCAGACUCCUACGGGAGGCAGCAGUGGGGAAUAUUGGACAAUGGGGGCAACCCUGAUCCAGCAAUGCCGCGUGAGUGAUGAAGGCCUUAGGGUUGUAAAGCUCUUUUGCCAGGGAAGAUGAUGACUGUACCUGGAGAAUAAAGCCCCGGCUAACUUCGUGCCAGCAGCCGCGGUAAU